CCUACGGGUGGCAGCAGUGAGGAAUAUUGGUCAAUGGACGCAAGUCUGAACCAGCCAUGCCGCGUGCAGGAAGACGGCUCUAUGAGUUGUAAACUGCUUUUGUACGAGGGUAAACGAAGAUACGCGUAUCUGUCUGAAAGUAACGUACGAAUAAGGAUCGGCUAACUCCGUGCCAGCAGCCGCGGUAAUACGGAGGAUUCAAGCUUUCUCCGGAUUUAUUGGGUUUAAGGGGUGCGUAGGCGGUCGGAUAAGUUAGAGGUGAACUCCCGCGGCUCAACUUCGGAAUUGCCUCUGAUACUGUUCGGCUAGCGCGUAGUUGCGGUAGGCGGAAUGUCUGUUGUAGCGGU
rnacentral:rRNA from 1 species